UUGAUUUUGAUUGAAAAUUUCCGAUUUUCGAUCGUUUUAUAAUUAUUCAUGCGUUUUGUUACAACAGACCCCAUCAUAAAUCUGGGUAUCCACUGUACAAUUAAAAAAAAAAAUUGUUCCUUUGUGAUAAUCAAUUGUUUCAAUUACCAGGUAAUCAUACAUUAUUAUUAUUUUAAAAAUUAUUUGCUUUUCGGUAUUGUGCUUUGAUGUGAUAAAUUUGUUAUCACUUUAAAACAAUUCACAUUAAGUACUGUGUUUUUUUUUUUAGAUGUAUCUAAGUAUAAUACAAUUAUUGCUCAAAGAAUUAUUAGAAACAAAUCUAGUCAUAACUUAUUUUUAUUGACGUUUUAGGUGGUUUAUUAUACAACUACAUUGGAUAAUUGAUUGACAUUAUAUAUGGAUCAGAUUUGACUCAUGACAAUUUAAUUGUUUGAGAGUAUUCAAAUUGUCGAUUAUUUGUGACGAGGAAGAUAAUACCAACUUUAAUUUAGGUAAUCAUAAAUCAUCAAAUACAAAGUAACUCAUUAAAGUUAAUGACUGAAAAUAACACAAUUACCAAUGAUUGUAUAGUAUUAACCUAUAAGUUAUAAUACUUAGUAGAGAUUUUUAAAAAAUAUGACGAAGUAGUAUUUAAUAAAAUCCAAAUUGUUAUUAAAACUGUGAAUUUAUAUGAGUAACUUUAUUAGGUAAUAAAAAAUGUACAAUUAUUACUAUUAAAAUUAUUAAUUUGUAUUUUUUGCAUGAACAAAUACGAUGCACCCUAUAAAACACUAUGAAAUAUGAAUGGCAUUUAUAGGAUAUAUUUCUCUUCUAGAGAAAAACUUCAAAACAUUAGAAGGUAGUAUAUAAUUGUGUAGAUAAACCAAAAUCUUAAAAAAAAAAUGCACCACAAUUAC